rnacentral:rRNA from 1 species
UACGUAGGGACCAAGCGUUGUUCGGAUUUACUGGGCGUAAAGGGCGCGUAGGCGGCUUGACAAGUCACUUGUGAAAUCUCCGGGCUUAACUCGGAACGGCCAAGUGAAACUGUCAUGCUAGAGUGCAGAAGGGGCAAUCGGAAUUCUUGGUGUAGCGGUGAAAUGCGUAGAUAUCAAGAGGAACACCGGUGGCGAAGGCGGGUCUCUGGGCCGAUAUUGACGCUGAGGAGCGAAAGCGUGGGGAGCGAACAGG